rnacentral:lncRNA from 1 species
AUUAAGGAAACAAAGAUAUAUAUAUAUAUAGAGAGAGAGAGAGAGAGAGAGAGUAGGGCUAUUAUAUUUUUAUGAAUAUAGAGUUCUUUGUACUCAUAAGUUGUUUUCGAUGUUGGGGUUUUCAAAUCAACGAUCCACACCGUUAAACAUGAUUUAGAGUAUUUGAAACUUCUAGAAACUAAAUUUCGUAAUUUUCGAAAUUAUUAUAAAGUCCAUCAAGCGGAUAUAAAAUAAACGGUCAAAAUCGAACGACAUCCUAAAAAUGGAUGAUCGGAUCGUUCAAUUUAAGAUCGGAGCUAUUGAUCUUUAUCUAGAUAGUGAAUAGAAUUUCUAUAAAAAAUUCUAUCUAUUCCGAUUCUUUUACACUGUUAAUCUAGCAAGUAUUUCAUACCGGCCGUUAAAAAUUAUCAAUUUUGUGACAUUUUGAUUGUAAAAUAAAUGAUGUCGAAAAAUUAUAAAAUUUGAUUUCUAAAAAUUUUAAAUGCUCUAAAUAAUGUUUAACAGUAUGGAUCAUUGAUUCGGAAGCUCUAUCAUCGAAAAUGAUUUAUGAGUACGAGAAUGAUCGUACUCAUGAUAAGAGUAUAGUAGCUGGACUUCUUA